AUGGUGAAUCCUGUGGCAAAGAGGGCAGUAAUGAGGCCUCACCAGACCUGCAGAAUCAGACAGGACGACAGGAAGUGACGGAGACAGCGGGACCAGCAGGACGCGGAGACGAUGGACGUCCUCACCAAACAUGUGGUACCUGUUUGUUUACAUCCCAGCUCAGCUGUGCUUUUCUUUCAUUUGUUUACAUGUGUGUUUCACUUGUUUACCAGAAGCUCAGACACAUCAGCUGUGUGGGCGGAGUCAGGGGAAGACUCUGGAUCCUGAAGCUCUUCAGCCAUUGGCCAGGACUCAGCGAUGUGACGAUGUAGAAACCUGUGAAACAUUUGUAUCAUCAGUGGGUGGAGCUCCACUGGCUCCACCCAUGACUGUACCAUUUUACUCCAAAGGGUAGGGUGCUAAAAAUGUGUCCUGUACCAAACUGGACUGAUCCACUCGGUGGAAACACGGCUCCCAGGUUUCCAUGCUGUGCCCACCCGUGUUUAUGCAGGUUCCAUAUGGUUUCAGUAACAUGGGAAUGCCCAUGUGACCUCACUUGACCUCACCUGAGCUGUUGCCCAACGUGUGGUCAACAUUUGGCCCGGUCAGCGGGGGAAACGUGGCACCGCGGGUUCGAAUCCAGUCGCCGUCGUCGUGGUGAUGCUGACUCCAGAAACAGAAGCCGUGUUCAAACGUACAGUGUGUUACCGGAGAGGUCGGACGCGUUGACGGCGUUGUACGUGGCGUUGAAACCCGACAGAUU